CUGUGGCCUGGCGUUGGGAGAAGAUGUGUGAGGGUCAGUGCUGGUCGUGGGCGAGAAGGAAAAGGUGCAGCCUGUGCUCUCACUGGUCGGGCGCGGGGAGACCGUCGAGCAGGCAGCGUGGCUGCUGAGGGCCUUGGACGGGUGCGGAGGCGUUCCACGGGUCUCGGGAGGCUGGGGUGAGGAACGCGUGUCUGGUCGAAAGGGUGACAGGCUCGGGUCCCUCCUUGUGCUCUUCCCUUGGGUCUUCUGGAUCUGAGGCCCCAGACCAAAUCUGCUUGCUGACCAUUUAGCACAUUAAGCGUUAUCUGCGCGCUUCCACGGCCACGUCCACACUCCAGCCACGGCAGCAAGUCACUGUGAUGGAGACGACGUGGCCUGCAAAGUCCAGGCACAUGUUGUGUCUGGCCCUGGGCAGAGAGUGCCCAGCCCCAGGACGUCUAGGCCGUCAGCGGUGGUGCCAACUCUCAGCCAUCACCCCUUGUCCCCGCAGAAGAAAAGGCAGUAAAAGACGAACCGAUGUGUGAAUGAAGACAAAGAUGAUGUUGAAAGUGGCCCAUGAAACGGAGACCAGACAAAAGCGUAAAAGCUAAGGCGCCGUUAGAAAACAACAGGCCAGGGUCCGAGCCCAGGCCUCUGUCUGAAUCCUUCCUCUGUAAGUGCCUGGGCAGUGCCAGGGCCCCUGGCCAGGACGGAGGCCUCGAGGGCCGAGGAAUCCCUCGCAUCCGGCCUGUGACAUGCACACACUCCCUUCUUCUCGUCUGUGGUCGUGUCGCUGCUAAACUGGGCUGAGAAAAUCCAAGACAUGCAGGCUGCCGUGUGCCGAAAAAGCCAGACCCGCCUUGGUCUUGUUAUGGUACUGAGUCUGAGGAGGAAGAAAACGUCUUUGGGAACUUUGCAUAAACUUAAACGUGAGGGUCUUUGCCGUUUGCGAGGGUCGCCAUGGAGACAAGAGCGUGCGAUCAGCACGGCGACCCCUGUCAGCAUCCUCCCGCUGAAACUCCUACGUGUAACAUUAGGUGUGGCUGCUGCUGUGAAAAGACCGAGUGUGAAUGCGUGCACUGUCCUGAUGACAGUGGUGUUGAAUGGUAAGCUGACACCGUGCAGAUUCCCGCAGAGCUGACAUCUGGCCCUGCCCCGCUGCCUCCGCACGGGUGGGACAUCCUUGGGCGGCUCGCUCUUUGUUUCCUCCUGGGUCUCCGGCCUCCUUCGAGGGAGCCUCCCUGUGUCUUUGCUUUUUAGGGCUGCCUGGAGCUUCCUGCAGCUUCCUUGAAGGACACUCCGUGAGUUCGGUUGCUUCGUAUAAGAGAAAGGAAUCAUAUGCUUUCGUAACGACUCCCAUAUAUAGUUAAGAGCAGUGAUUUUGGUAGAUAACUGCCUUCGAAACAAGGCAAGCCUUCUUCCCUAACACGCGAAGUCGCAUCGCAUAACCUGCCGCACACUCUGUCUCUAGAAUGGAUCUGUAUUUAGAAAUAAAGGAUUCCCAAAUGUGUGACA
rnacentral:lncRNA from 1 species